GUCCCUAUAGCGCAAUGGAUAGCGCGUUGGACUUCUAAUCUGAAGGUCAUGGGUUCGAAUCCCACCUGGGAUG
rnacentral:tRNA from 1 species